rnacentral:rRNA from 1 species
AAUCAACGCUGGCGGCGUGCCUCAGACAUGCAAGUCGAACGCUGCUGUUCGCCUUCGGGUGGACAGCGGAGUGGCGCACGGGUGAGUAACACGUAGGUAAUCUACCUUUGGGUGGGAAUAACAGCCGGAAACGGCUGCUAAUACCGCAUAAUGCAGCGGCAUCACAUGAUGACAGUUGUUAAAGCGAGGGAUCGUAAGACCUCGCGCCUGAAGAGGAGCCUGCGGCAGAUUAGGUAGUUGGUGAGGUAAUGGCUCACCAAGCCUGCGAUCUGUAACCGGCUGAGAGGGCGUCGGUCACACUGACACUGACAUACGGGUCAGA